rnacentral:rRNA from 1 species
AUUGAACGCUGGCGGCAGGCCUAACACAUGCAAGUCGAGCGAGAGGCGGACGGGUGAGUAAUGUAUGGGGACUGCCCGAUAGAGGGGGAUAACUACUGGAAACGGUAGCUAAUACCGCAUACUAUCGGAUAACCCAUAUGGGAUUAGCUAGUCGGUGAGGUAAUGGCUCACCUAGGCGACGAUCCCUAGCUGGUCUGAGAGGAUGAUCAGCCACCCUGAGACGGAGACACGGCCCAGGCUGCUACGGAGGCAGCAGUUGGGAAGAUUGCACAUGGGGCGCAAGCCUGAUGCAGCCAUGCCGCGUGUAUGAAGAAGGCCCUAGGGGUGUAGAGUACUUUCAGUCGGGAGGCGUUACCGACAGAGGAAGCACCGGCUAACUCCGUGCCAGCAGCCGCGGUGAUUC